UAUCAAAUAUUUAUCUUUUUCGCAAGCAAACCAAUGAGUAUUUCUCUUCAAAUUUUUUGGUUACUAUAUCUCUUUUUUAUCACCUAAGCGCCGUCGUUUCUCUUCAAAUCUCUCUGUUUUAUAAUCAAAAUUC
rnacentral:sRNA from 1 species